rnacentral:rRNA from 1 species
CCGAACACGGAAGUUAAGCUCUUCAGCGCCGAUGGUAGUUGGGGGCUGUCCCCCUGCAAGAGUAGGACGUUGCCAAGC